ACAUAUCUCUAAAAAAGAUAAUGAAAAGAAAAGAAAAAAAAGUAAAAGAAAAAAAAUGACAAUCAAUGUAGGAAAAAGCCUUAUCUCUCUAUUUUUUCUGCUUUUCUUUUAUUUUUCUUUAUUUUUCUUUCAUUUUCUCUCAAUUUUUCCUCUAUUUUUUCCAUCCUCAAGAGUCCCGAUCGGGUGAAAGGCUUGGAGUGGCCGAAUAUGGAAGCUUAGGAAAGGUGGAGUGGC
rnacentral:lncRNA from 1 species